rnacentral:rRNA from 1 species
UACGAAGGGGGCUAGCGUUGCUCGGAAUGACUGGGCGUAAAGGGCGCGUAGGCGGUUCAUACAGUCAGAUGUGAAAUUCCCGGGCUUAACCUGGGGGCUGCAUUUGAUACGUGUGGGCUUGAGUGAGGAAGAGGGUUGUGGAAUUCCCAGUGUAGAGGUGAAAUUCGUAGAUAUUGGGAAGAACACCGGUGGCGAAGGCGGCAACCUGGUCCUUGACUGACGCUGAGGCGCGAAAGCGUGGGGAGCGAACAGG